rnacentral:rRNA from 1 species
UACGUAGGGGGCAAGCGUUGUCCGGAAUCAUUGGGCGUAAAGCGCGUGUAGGCGGCCAAGUAAGUCCGUUCUGAAAGCCCGGGGCUCAACCCCGGGAGGCGGAUGGAUACUGCUUGGCUCGAGUCCGGAAGAGGCGAGUGGAAUUCCCGGUGUAGCGGUGAAAUGCGCAGAUAUCGGGAGGAACACCCGUGGCGAAGGCGGCUCUCUGGGACGGUACUGACGCUGAGACGCGAAAGCGUGGGGAGCGAACAGG